rnacentral:lncRNA from 1 species
CUAUGAUGAUACUAUUAUCACAAGGAACGGUACAGCCGGUUAUAUACAUGUCUGCAUAUAUAUAUAUAUAUGCAUAUAUAUCGUGCACCAGUAGCAGUUGAAGCUGCCAGCAUGAUCUAAACUUUCCUUCCACUCUCAAGGAUUGAUCGGAUCAUGUGGUAGCUUCACCUGUUCAUGGGAUCACGAAACCCUAGUUUACUUCCAAUCCUCACUACUUACAUAUAUCUGUACAUAUGUAUAAAAUACAUGAUACACAAUUUUCUCGUAUAUAUAUAUGGAUUCUGUCUUCCCCAUCUUCUAAUUCUUCUUAUUACUUCACCGCAUGUUUUAUUCUUUUUACAAUCUUGAUGAUUCUUGUUUCUUCUUUCUUUCAACUAUUAGGUGAUAUGAUAGCGUUGGUUAGUCAAUCUAGAAUAUUGGUAUAUACAUAUAUAUGUGUAUAUGUAUAUGAUAGGUAUGUAUGUAUUUUCAAAUCUUAGGAUAUUCACAAGAUCUCUAGGAUAUAUAUAUAUAUAUAUAUAUAUGCACGGAGAUUUUGUUUCUUUUCUUUUCCUCUCUCUCUCUCUCUCUCAUAUGUAUACAUAUACACAUAUAUAUACACAACAGAUAUAUAUAUAUAUAUGUAUGCUUGUGUAUGUUUGUGCAGGUAUGGAAGAUUAGGGGUCUCUCGGAAAAGAAAAGUUUACAAGGGUCUCUUUCCAUAAAAAGAAAAGUUUCAGGGGUCUCUCUGAAAAUGAAGAGACAAAACGGUGCGUUUAGCCAAUUUCCGGUUCAUAUCAUCUUCUUAUUUCCCCGCUUCAUUUCAGAGUAACGGUUCUCUCUCAUCUGUAUAAUGGAAAAGCAUUCUACAUUUGGCUGGACGGAAUUCUUUCUUUCUUGUUGAAAAUUACAUCUGCAUCAUGGCCAGAAUGGAUAGCUAUUACGAGGUACGCUGCGAUCCUCGCGAAACUCUGUUGCUUAUUAUUGUGAGUUCAUCAAUGUCUGGUUGUUUUCACUUAGAUCUAAAUGGUAAAUGCAAUGUCCGGCAUGUUGUAUGUCAGGUUUCGUUUCUUCCUCCCUAUAUGAAAUGGCGUUCCAUACAUUGUUCUUUUUUUCGAUAUACUUUCUUUUACUACAGAGAUUUUGAUAAUUUCUUGGCUUAUCUCCACCAUGAAGUACUGUCUCUCUGUUGGACGCAUAUGCAUUUUGUUUGCGAACUUGAUGCUGAAUAUCAAAUAAGCUUGUGAUUGGCCUCAAUUUUUGAAAGCUCUCUUUACGGCUUAUGUCCGUUAAGAAGCUAUUUUCUUGGUGCGGAGACAGAACAGAAAUUCGUGGUGAAUGUGCCAGAAUAUGAUUUUCCUUCUACCUCUGUGAUGAUCAUAAAUUAGAGCAACAAUAAAUCCAAAAUGAUACUAUAGGAAGGAAGUAGAAGGAAUCAACGAAUUGAUAAUUAUAUAAAUCCCACUAAUUCAUACUGUAGUGAGUAUACAGUCAUGUUUAUUUGAUUUAUUGCAUACAAAUAUCAUGCAGCUUAGAAAUUAGGAACUACGUACAUGUAAUAUAUAAUGUUACACUUAAAUCCAAUACAUACGAAACUCACUCAAGCGUGUUUCUGUUACAAUCCCCACAGUAAAAAUUAAGGGAGAGAUAGCUGGACAAGUAGAGGAAAGUUAAGGGGAGAGAGCUGGACAAUUAGAGGAAAAUUAAGAAGGAGAUAGCUGGACAAUUCUCAGCUUACUUUGCUGAGAUGAAAGGUUUCUAAUUAUAAAACUUUGCAACCAAUAAAGACUUUACAGGUGUUCCAAUAAAGGAACUACAGCUGUUAACAAAAAGAAAAUUCGUUAAAAUAAAUUUUUAUUUGCUACAAGGCUGUGCAGAUUGCAGAUUUUUGUCCUAUGCAGGUUGCAGGUGCAGGUUGAGGAUUUUGUGCUGUUCCUUUGGCUGUUUCUUGUCCUAUGCAGGUUGCAGGUUGCAGGUUGCAGGUUGCAGGUUUUUGUCCUAUUCAGGUUGCAGUUGCAGGUUGAAGAUUUUGUGCUGCUGGUGUUUUGUUCUGCAGAAUUACAUGAUGUGGUGUUCUCUUGGUUGUUUCUUGACAGCUGGUCACAACAUUAUUCUUGACAUCCCCCUUCAAGCUUGGCAGUGGGAGAGGUCUUUCUUCCACUCCAAGUUUGCUUCUUGAAUGACAAAAUUGGGCACCAACUUGAGCUUUUGUUAAACAAUCCGCAAUUUGAUCUUGAGAAGGGACAUACCUCACUUCAAGUUUUCUGUCAGGAACUUUAUCCCGUAUAAAAUGAAUGUCAACUUCUAUGUGCUUGGUUCUUGCAUGAAAAACUGGAUUACUUGCUAGUUGACUUGCACUCAUGUUAUCACACCCAGUAAUAGGAGUUGCUGAAAGAGAAAUAGAUAACUCUGCAAGUAGUGAUUCUAACCAUGAAAUUUCGCAGGAGACAUGAGCUAAGGACCGGUAUUCUGAUUCAGCACUGGAUCUUGCCACCACAUGUUGCUUUUUAGAGCUCCAGGAAAUUAAACUUGAGCCAAAAUACACACAAUAACCAGCUGUCGAUCUCCUGUCAUCCCUGUUACAUGCCCAGUCUGCAUCUGAGAACCCUGUAAGAGUGUAGCUGUUACAUGGCUGUACAGGAGACAUGAGCUAAGGACCGGUAUUCUGAUUCAGCACUGGAUCUUGCCACCACAUGUUGGUUUUUAGAGCUCCAGGAAAUUAAACUUGAGCCAAAAUACACACAAUAAUCAGCUGUCGAUCUCCUGUCAUCCCUGUUACAUGCCCAGUCUGCAUCUGAGAACCCUGUAAGAGUGUAGCUGUUACAUGGCUGUAUAUGAAGACCAAAUUCUUUGGUUCCCUUCAGAUAUCUUAAAACUCUCUUGACUGCAUUCAUGUGCUUAGUUGUAGGCUGUUGCAAAAUUUAACUUGGUUUAUUGAUGAUAAAGGCAAUAUCUGGCCUGGUGUGAGUUAAAUAUUGCAAGGAACCAAUGAUUUUUCUGUAUGAUGUUGGAUUUUUGAGUGGUUCUUCUUCCUGAGCAGUUUGUGCGGCAUUAAGAAUGGCAGGUGUAGAGCAUGGUUUAGAGUUUUCCAUAUCUGCUCUCUUAAGCAGUUCUUCAAUAUACUUUGUUUGAGUUAGAUAAAAUCCUGUAUCAUCCCUUGUUACCUCAAUUCCGAGAAAAAGAUGCAGUGAGGCUAAGUCUUUCAAGGCAAAUAAUUUGUCUAGUUCUUGCACAAACCGUUUAAGUGAGGUAGGAUUGUUACCUGUUAGGAUCAAAUUAUCAACAUAUAUAAGCACAAAUCACUUACCAUUUUUUGGAUUGUGGAAGAAAAGAAAUGUGAGGGCUUUUGAGGGCAUUGAAACUAAUAUUGUAAAUAUUAAAAAUAUGUGAUUUCAUACUUUUGGGUCUAUCUUGUUAAGUCAUUAUGUGAAAGAGUGGGAAGACAUAGGUUUAGUUCUGGACUACUCGAUAGAUUUGUAACUAUUUUGUAUUCGAGUGGUACUCAUUUGGUACCUUUAUGAAUAAUAUUACUCUCUUUUAUUUCAAAAAAAAAAAAAGCACAAACAUAAUUUCACCUUUGUUUUUCAAAAUGAAGAGUGAGGAGUCACAUUUUGAGUUCCUGAAGUCCUCCCAAUUUAGCAAGGUUUUCCUGAACUUCUCAAACCAGGCCCGAAGUGCCUGUUUUAAGCCAUAUAAGGCUUUAUUAAGCUUGCAAACAUAGUUGAUAGUUUAUUUUUCUUCAAGCCCUUCAGGUUGCUGCAUAUACACUACCUCUUGUAGAUCACCACUGAGAAAAACAUUAUUUAUAUCAAGUUGUCUGACCACCCAAUUUUCUGUUACAACAAUAAUAAGGAUAACUCUAAUGGUCGAGGCUUUAACUACAGGACUGAAGGUCUUGCCAUAAUCAAUUCCUGCAUUCUGAUGGAACUCCUUUGCUACUAACCUUGCUUCGCAUCUGUGGAAACUGCCAUCUAUAAUUUUUCUUAACUCUGAAUACCCAUUUGCUGCCAACAAUAUUCAUUGAAGGUGUGCGUAGAACUAGAGACCAGGUGUUGUUUAGCUUUAAUGCUUUCAAUUCUUCUUCCAUAGCUGAUUUCCAGUGUUUAGAAUUCAAUGCCUCAUUAAUUGAGAUAGGUUCAGUUGGCAUUGGUUCUGAACACUUUGCAAGAUAUAGUUGAAAGUCUGAAGAAAACUGCUUAGGCUUGUGAAUUCCAGCCUUAGCCCUUGUUGUCAUUCUAUGAGCAUAACCUUCUUCCUGUUGUGAUUCUUGUUGUUGGAUUUCAAUAGGUCGUUGAUGCAUUUUAGACUCAUUUGUUUCAGCUUCUUUUGCUUGAUCAUCUACAUAGCCUGGUACUUCACCAAAGUCAGAUUGUUGGGGAUCAAAUCCUCCUUCAGCUGAUAACCUCAUAUCAUAAUUCUCAGGUUGUAAUGUUCUGGACUUAGCUUCCUGAACUUGCUUUACUGCAAUAGAAACAUCUUGAGAGUUUGUAUCAAAUAAAUAAGUGUUAGGUGCUAGAUUUAUGUCAGAUAUCUCAGUGGUAGAGGUGAGCCAAUAGGGUGUUGUAACUAAGGUUUGAAUUUCUGGUGUUUUUGUGUUUAGAAAGUUGGUAUGAAAUGGGAAGUGUUUUUCAUUGAAGACAACAUGCCUUGAAAUGUAAAAUUUUCCAGUGGAACUGAGGCACUUAUAUCCUUUGUGAGAGCUACUGUAGCCAAGAAAAACCCACUUUGUGGAGUGGUAUUGAAACUUUUGUGUCUGAUAGGGUCUUAAGUAGGGAAAACAAGCACAACCAAAGAUUUUCAGGGACUUAUAGUUUGGUUUCUUAUUCUGAAGUUUUUCCAGAGGACACAUGUUAUCUAACACAGGUGUGAGAAGUCUAUUAAUUAAGAAUAUUGCUGUAAGGAAAGCCUUAGGUCAAUAUUUUAGAGGAACCUUAGAUUGUGCUAAUAAAGUGAGACAUGUUUCAACUAUAUGUCUAUGCUUUCUUUCGGCUCUUCCAUUUUGAGCAGAUGUGCGAGGACAAGAAUAUUGAGUUUUGAUUCUAUGCAUUUGUUGGAAACUAGCAAGUCCUAAAUACUCUCCUCCCAUAUCUGAUUUUCUUAUCAAACUGGUUCUCAACUAGUGUUUUGAAAUUUUGGAAAACUCAUGCUAUAUCUGAUUUCUGUUUUAAGGGAAAUAACCAGGUAAACCUACUGUAAUCAUCUAGAAAUAGCACAUAAUAUUUGAAUCCACAUGCUGAGACAACAGGAAAAGGCCCCCUUAUAUCUGUGUGAAUUAGUUCAAGGGGUUGAGUAGAGUGAGAUGAUGAUAGAGUAAAAGGAAGUAAAUGAGACUUGCCAAGUUGACAGUCAUCACAGAAAAACUCACUUUCAUUGAUAGAAGGUUUUUGAUUACAGGUUUCAAGAACCUUAACUAGAGUUCUAAAGGAGGGGUGUCCUAAUCUCUUGUGCCACAUUUCCAUCUGCUUUACAUUUUCAGGCUUGUUUGAUAGGUUAAAAACAAAGGCUUGGUGAGAGUGUUGUUUGAGUUUUACUUUUGAUUGCUGGACUGGUUCAAUCUGAUACAAUCCUUCCUUAUGUUUCCCUUGUAGCAGAGUUUUAUCUGUUGCCUUGUCCUUCACAAAAGAACCAAAAGAGUUAAAUUUAACAUCAACAUCAUUUGAAGUGGUGAGUUUUGACACACUAGUCAAAUUUUUCUCAAUGUCAGGAACAUGUAAGUUUCUUUGAGUAUCAAGCAUUUUCUUUUUUCUACGGACAAUUUAACUAAUCCAAUAUGAUAAAUGUUAAGUUUCUCACUGUUCCCCACAGUUAGAGUUUCUUU